AUUAGAUUCUUAAUUAUUGUAGAAGAUAGAUCGGCAAGCAUCUAAGAACUCGGCAAAAUGGUUGUGUCAAUGGAUAAAUAUACAGUACAGUGUUCUUUGGUUGGUGAUGCCAUGAUUGGGAAGUCUUCCCUUGCAAAGGCCAUCACCGGCCAGAACUUUGAUGAGGGAUACAUUGCUACCACAGAAGACAGCUAUUCAGCCUCCUUAUCCGUAGCUGGAGACAAAUAUUCUCUCAGCAUUCUGGAUUUAUCUGGACAGGUAAAUAGAUUAUUCUUAAAACAAUUAACUAUAUUUACAUGAUUUAUAUCUACUUUGAAAAUGUAAAACAUUAAACUUUGAUAAUUCAAAAUUAUAACAGUUCUUGCUUUUUUCAUUUUAGCAUGAUUACGAUCAGGUCAGAACGCAGGAAUACAGAAGCAACGAUAUCUUUGUCGUCUGCUUCAGCGCCGUGGAUAGGGAGUCCCUGGAGAGCGUGCGUGACUUCUGGGUCCCCGAGAUCCAGCAGGUGGACAGGAAACGACCUGUUGUCCUGGUGGCCACCCAGACGGACCUCAGACAGAGGGAGACUGACCACAUCACCAAGGAAGAGGGACAGAGCCUCGCCAAACAGAUCGGAGCGUUCUGUUACGUAGAGUGCUCAGCAGCCGACAAGACGGGCGUUAAGGGGGUCUACGAACAAGUGGUGAUGGCCACCUUGAAAUGCAGGAAGCGCCGCUCCAGUCUCAUCAAACGAGUGUUCAGCCGAUGAAAAAGAUCAUCACAUAGAGUGGAUUAACUUUCUGUAUGAUCGCCUGAUCAUCAAAUUUCUCAGUUCAAACUGCUGGAACAGCAAGAAUUUUCGUAGGUUCAGUUUGACAAAGAACCGAUUCCAAGAAGUGGUACUGGUCAAGACAUUCAAGAACCUUACUUAUCACGAAUGUUCGCAAAGCGUGUUUCGAAUCGGGGUUGGAAGAAGACUUGUUUUUUUGGGACUUGAACUCUCUAGGAUGUGAACUUUCCUAGGGGCCAUAAACUGUGUCGUUUCGUCAAACGAUGACUGAGCGUUAAAACCUAACAAUAGUGCAGCGUACCCGAACAGUGCAGGGCGUAUAACGCUAUCCGGAAAGCUGGCGAUAAAAUCAAUCUGAACUCUCUGGUAGUGCAGCCCCGAGGCGAUGAAUUCUCGUUUGAAGAGAACCUACCAGGUGUGAAAUGAUAUUCCAUCAUCAUGAUUCUCUGUGUCAUGACUCCACAUUAUUGUGGACCCUGACAUUGAUACUUGAUAUAUGUAACUAUGUCAGAGUGUGACAAAAACCAACAAGAUUUAUACCAAUAAAUAAAUUUAAAGUUAU
rnacentral:misc_RNA from 1 species